rnacentral:rRNA from 1 species
UGCUACCUACGGGGCGCAGCAGUGAGGAAUAUUGGUCAAUGGGCGGAAGCCUGAACCAGCCAAGUCGCGUGAGGGAAUAAGGCCCUACGGGUCGUAAACCUCUUUUGCCGGGGAGCAAGGGCGGGGACGUGUCGGCGGAAGGAGAGUACCCGUAGAACAAGCAUCGGCUAACUCCGUGCCAGCAGCCGCGGUAAUACGGAGGAUGCGAGCGUUAUCCGGAUUUAUUGGGUUUAAAGGGUGCGCAGGCGGCACGGCAAGCCGGCGGUCAAAUCGCGGGGCUCAACCCCG